rnacentral:rRNA from 1 species
CUGCUGCCUCCCGUAGGAGUUUGGGUCGUGUCUCAGUCCCAAUGUGGCCGAUCACCCUCUCAGGUCGGCUAUGUAUCAUCGCCUUGGUGAGCCUUUACCUCACCAACUAGCUAAUACAACGCGGGAUCAUCUUUGAGUGAUGCAAUUGCAUCUUUCAAACUUAAAACUUGUGUUUAAAGUUUUUAUGCGGUAUUAGCAUUCGUUUCCAAAUGUUGUCCCCUGCUCAAAGGCAGAUUCCCCACGCGUUACUCACCCG